rnacentral:lncRNA from 1 species
GCACCGUCUCGCAGGGAGCCAGGCAGCUUCCGGCCUCUGCGGCGGCGGUGGCCGAGAAGCAGUGAGCGGAGAAGGCCGAGGAAGGGCUGAGGACGGUGAUGUACCUCAGCUGUUGGGGUCCAAAUUAGCAGCUGCAACUUAGUGCUAGCUAGGCGUGUGUGUGUUUGCUGCAACAACCAUGGCCUGAAACCACGAUGUAAAAACUCGGUAUUAGCUGGCUUCCUGUGGAACCCCCCGUCGUAAAAACCACAAUGAUGAUGACAAAUUUCUGUUACUUCAGUUAUCUGUUUGCCUUUUUGUUAUCUUGAUGAGAAAUACGAAUUGAUGCUUUACUUUAGUUUUGGCUAUUCCCUUGUCUUUGAACCCGGCCUUUUGGUCGUAUGUCAUUACAACUCACAAGGACUUCAUUUUUGCCGAUCUACUGAGCGACUGAGUUCAUGGCAAACAUGCUGUAUUUCUUCAGUCUGCAAGCACACAUAAAGGUGUCAUCUGCAGGUGUCGAAGUGACACACAUGAUAAAUUCCCAAUACUGAAGGUGUCAUCAAGCAAUCCGUUUUGUUUCAGUUUUGCUCGUUGACCUGCCUCCAGUUACUUGGUUCGUCCACAUUAAAUACUAGUUAACUGAUCCUUACCAUCGGGAGGGUUUCUGAUCAGAGCUAUAGGAAGAGCCAAAAAGGCAGGUCACGUGUUUUUCUUUCUAACUUUCCUAGGGUCAUGCAGGCAGAUGAAUUGGCUUUUGAACAAGAGGAGUUCCCAUACGUUUUGAGUGCCACGAGUUUUUCUUUUGAACCAUGUUAACCUCUUUCCAUUAAUACAACAAUGUUGGUAUCAGCAUAGUAUCAAUACCACGAGUUUCUCGGAAGUAACCAACAUGUAUUUAUAUUAUUAGUAAUAAACAAUAAUCAAGAUGUUUGCCUGAGGCGCACACAUGGAUGACUCCGGUGUCUCCUCCAUCUGACGUUCACACGAAGCUCACACGGCCCCUGGUAUGGUGGAAACCAUGUCUUCCUGCGUGCGCGUCACCCCUAUCUAAUCUUAUCUCUCUGCCUUGUCUGGUCGUAACGGACAAAACCAAGGCCCAAUGUGCCGGAACGAGAGCGACGGCUGCGGCGCAAGCAAGCAAAAGUGCUCGCCUGGGAGCCGGAGCACCCGGUAUCUAGAAAACCAGGGCCCGCGGCAGCCUGUUUAGCUCGGGCUCUCUUGUAUAUAAUCACGGACCACUACCACUCUUCCUCCCAUCAGCACGGACAAGCAUCCGCUUCAGUGAGACAGUUCAAGAAAUCAACUCCUUUUUUCAGUACCACAACUUCGCAAGUCCAUUAUCACUACACACAAGGAUUCAGUAUCCUUGCCAGCAGCCAAGCAAGGACAAGGAGGAGGAGAAGAGAUGGCUGCUCCGGCGAAGGCUUCGUGGAUGGUGGCCAUGAGCGUGGGCGCGGUGGAGGCGCUCAAGGACCAAGCCGGGCUCUGCCGCUGGAACUACGCACUCGGGUCCAUCCACCGAGCUGCCAAGGCCAACGUCCGCGGUGGUGUCUCGCAGGGCACCAAGCAUCUUCCGGUCUCCGCGCCGACGGUGACGGAGAAGGCCGAGGAGGGGCUGAGGACGGUGAUGUACCUCAGCUGCUGGGGCCCAAAUUAGGAGUAGUAGUAUCUUAGGGGUGUUGUGUUCGUUGCAGCUUGUGCGUAUGUGACAACCCGAUGAUCGAUUGUAAAUACAGCACGAUGAUGAUGAUGAAAAUUUCGGCUAUGAGUUUAUAUCACCCUCCUUGUCCAUGUGCUUCUAUGACUGUCUUUUGAAAGG